rnacentral:rRNA from 1 species
AACGAACGCUGGCGGCAGGCUUAACACAUGCAAGUCGAACGCGUGUAGCAAUACACGAGUGGCGCACGGGUGAGUAACGCGUGGAUAUCUGCCUUUUGGUUCGGAAUAACCCCGGGAAACUGGGGCUAAUACCGGAUGGUUCCUUCGGGAUAAAGAUUUAUCGCCAAAAGAUGAGUCCGCGUCCGAUUAGCUAGUUGGUGAGGUAAUGGCUCACCAAGGCGACGAUCGGUAGCUGGUCUGAGAGGACGAUCAGCCACACUGGGACUGAGACACGGCCCAGACUCCUACGGGAGGCAGCAGUGGGGAAUAUUGGACAAUGGGGGCAACCCUGAUCCAGCCAUGCCGCGUGAGUGAUGAAGGCCUUCGGGUUGUAAAGCUCUUUUGGCGGGGACGAUGAUGACGGUACCCGCAGAAUAAGCCCCGGCUAACUUCGUGCCAGCCGCCGCAGUAAGAC